AACGAACGCUGGCGGCAGGCCUAACACAUGCAAGUCGAGCGCCCUUUCGGGGGAGCGGCGGACGGGUGAGUACCGCGUGGGAAUAUGCCCUUCUCUACGGAAUAGCCUCGGGAAACUGAGAGUAAUACCGUAUACGCCCUGUGGGGGAAAGAUUUAUCGGGGAAGGAUUAGCCCGCGUUGGAUUAGGUAGUUGGUGGGGUAAUGGCCUACCAAGCCGACGAUCCAUAGCUGGUUUGAGAGGAUGAACAGCCACACUGGGACUGAGACACGGCCCAGACUCCUACGGGAGGCAGCAGUGGGGAAUCUUAGACAAUGGGGGCAACCCUGAUCUAGCCAUGCCGCGUGAGUGAUGAAGGCCUUAGGGUUGUAAAGCUCUUUCAGCUGGGAAGAUAAUGACGGUACCAGCAGAAGAAGCCCCGGCUAACUCCGUG
rnacentral:rRNA from 1 species